GAUGAACGUUGGCGGUGUGCCUAAUACAUGCAAGUCGAACGGAGACUGUAGCAAUACUGUCUUAGUGGCGAACGGGUGAGUAACGCGUUGGUGAUCUGCCUCGAAGUGUGGAAUAACCUCCCGAAAGGGAAGCUAAUACCGCAUAGUCUCUCAAGGUUUAGAAAAUUGAGAGUAAAGGAUUUAUUCGCUUCGAGAGGAGCCUGCGUCCCAUCAGCUAGUUGGUAGGGUAACGGCCUACCAAGGCAAUGACGGGUAGGGGACCUGAGAGGGUGGCCCCCCACAAUGGAACUGAAACACGGUCCAUACACCUACGGGUGGCAGCAGUAGGGAAUAUUAGAAAUGGGCGGAAGCCUGAUCUAGCAACACCGCGUGUGCGAUGAAGGCCUUGGGUCGUAAAGCACUUUUUGGAGGGAAUAGGAAGGAAGGUACCGUUCCAGAAUAAAGUCUCGGCUAACUACGUG
rnacentral:rRNA from 1 species